rnacentral:rRNA from 1 species
GACGAACGCUGGCGGCGUGCUUAACACAUGCAAGUCGAACGGAAAGGCCCUGCUUGCAGGGUACUCGAGUGGCGAACGGGUGAGUAACACGUGGGGGAUCUGCCCUGCACUUCGGGAUAAGCUUGGGAAACUGGGUCUAAUACCGGAUAGGAACCAUCUUGAGUGUAGUGGUUGGAAAGUUUUUUCGGUGUAGGAUGAGCUCGCGGCCUAUCAGCUUGUUGGUGGGGUAAUGGCCUACCAAGGCGGCGACGGGUAGCCGGCCCGAGAGGGUGUACGGCCACAUUGGGACUGAGAUACGGCCCAGACUCCUACGGGAGGCAGCAGUGGCGAAUAUUGAUCAAUGGGCGCAAGCCUGAUGCAGCGACGCCGCGUGGGGGAUGAAGGCCUUCGGGUUGUAAACUCAUUUCGCUAGGGACGAAGCUUUUUGUGACGGUACCUAGAUAAGAAGCACCGGCUAACUACGUG